GCCAGCAUGGCAUAGUGGUUUGAGCAUUGAACUAUGACACUGGAGAUCGGGGUUCGAAUCCCAGCUCAGCCA